AGAGUUUGAUCAUGGCUCAGGACGAACGCUGGCGGCGUGCUUAACACAUGCAAGUCGAGCGGUAAGGCUCCUUCGGGAGUACACGAGCGGCGAACGGGUGAGUAACACGUGAGCAAUCUGCCCUUCACAUUGGGAUAACCCCGGGAAACUGGGGCUAAUACCGGAUACCACCACCGAUGGCAUCUUCGGUGGUUGAAAGCUCCGGCGGUGAAGGAUGAGCUCGCGGCCUAUCAGCUUGUUGGUGAGGUAAUGGCUCACCAAGGCGACGACGGGUAGCCGGCCUGAGAGGGUGACCGGCCACACUGGGACUGAGACACGGCCCAGACUCCUACGGGAGGCAGCAGUGGGGAAUAUUGGACAAUGGGCGAAAGCCUGAUCCAGCAACGCCGCGUGAGGGAUGACGGCCUUCGGGUUGUAAACCUCUUUCAGCAGGGACGAAGCGAAAGUGACGGUACCUGCAGAAGAAGCACCGGCCAACUACGUGCCAGCAGCCGCGGUAAUACGUAGGGUGCGAGCGUUGUCCGGAAUUAUUGGGCGUAAAGGGCUCGUAGGCGGUUUGUCACGUCGGAAGUGAAAACUCAGGGCUUAACCCUGUUCGUGCUUCCGAUACGGGCAGACUAGAGGUAGGCAGGGGAGAACGGAAUUCCUGGUGUAGCGGUGGAAUGCGCAGAUAUCAGGAGGAACACCGGUGGCGAAGGCGGUUCUCUGGGCCUAUUCUGACGCUGAGGAGCGAAAGCAUGGGGAGCGAACAGGAUUAGAUACCCUGGUAGUCCAUGCCGUAAACGUUGGGCGCUAGGUGUGGGGCUCAUUUCCACGAGUUCCGUGCCGCAGCUAACGCAUUAAGCG
rnacentral:rRNA from 1 species